ACUCAAAUGAAUUGACGGGGACCCGCACAAGCAGUGGAGUAUGUGGUUUAAUUCGACGCAACGCGAAGAACCUUACCAGGACUUGACAUCCACAAAAUGCUUUUGAAAGAAGGCAGUGCCCUUCGGGGAGUUGUGAGACAGGUGGUGCAUGGUUGUCGUCAGCUCGUGUCGUGAGAUGUUGGGUUAAGUCCCGCAACGAGCGCAACCCUUGCCUUCAGUUACUACGAAAGAGGACUCUGGAGGGACUGCCGUUGAGAAAACGGAGGAAGGUGGGGACGACGUCAAAUCAUCAUGCCCUUUAUGUUCUGGGCUACACACGUACUACAAUGGCCGAGACAACGGGAAGCGAAGCCGCGAGGCGGAGCAAACCCCCAAAAGCGGUCAUAGUUCGGAUUGCAGGCUGCAACUCGCCUGCAUGAAGUUGGAAUUGCUAGUAAUCGCGAAUCAUCAUGUCGCGGUGAAUACGUUCCCGGGUCUUGUACACACCGCCCGU
rnacentral:rRNA from 1 species